rnacentral:lncRNA from 1 species
AUGCAGGAAAAUUUAUGAGAAUUGAACUUAUUGAAAAUGAUCAUGGAAAGAUAUUUUUGUGCCUCCACAAUAAUUAAUAAAUAUGGGUUGUUACACACCAUAAAUAUUAUUUAUAUGGGGCUUUUCAUUAUUAUAAUAAUGCUAUAAAUAAAUAUGACUAAUGCAAGAUUUAAAUAUUAGAGAAUUAAUGAUGCGGAUAAAUACAGAUUUACC